rnacentral:rRNA from 1 species
AGGCCUAACACAUGCAAGUCGAGCGGAUGAGGAGAGCUUGCUCUCUGAUUCAGCGGCGGACGGGUGAGUAAUGCCUAGGAAUCUGCCUGGUAGUGGGGGACAACGUUUCGAAAGGAACGCUAAUACCGCAUACGUCCUACGGGAGAAAGUGGGGGAUCUACGGACCUCACGCUAUCAGAUGAGCCUAGUUCGGAUUAGCUAGUUGGUGGGGUAACGGCUCACCAAGGCCGACGAUCCGUAACUGGUCUGAGAGGAUGAUCAGUCACACUGGAACUGAGACACGGUCCAGACUCCUACGGGAGGCAGCAGUGGGGAAUAUUGGACAAUGGGCGAAAGCCUGAUCCAGCCAUGCCGCGUGUGUGAAGAAGGCCCUCGGGUCGUAAAGCACUUUAAGCUGGGAGGAAGGGUUGUAACCUAAUACGUUGCAGCUUUGACGUUACCAGCAGAAUAAGCACCGGCUAACUCUGUGGCAGCAGCCGCGGUAAUACAGAGGGUGCAAGCGUUAAUCGGAAUUACUGGGCGUAAAGCGCGCGUAGGUGGCUUGGUAAGUUGAAUGUGAAAUCCCCGGGCUCAACCUGGGAACUGCAUCCAAAACUGCCUGGCUAGAGUACGGUAGAGGGUGGUGGAAUUUCCUGUGUAGCGGUGAAAUGCGUAGAUAUAGGAAGGAACACCAGUGGCGAAGGCGACCACCUGGACUGAUACUGACACUGAGGUGCGAA